UACGGAGGGUGCAAGCGUUAUCCGGAUUCACUGGGUUUAAAGGGUGCGUAGGUGGGCAAGUAAGUCAGUGGUGAAAUCUCCGGGCUUAACCCGGAAACUGCCAUUGAUACUAUUUGUCUUGAAUACCGUGGAGAUGAGCGGAAUAUGUCAUGUAGCGGUGAAAUGCUUAGAUAUGACAUAGAACACCAAUUGCGAAGGCAGCUCGUUACACGAAUAUUGACUCUGAGGCACGAAAGCGUGGGGAUCAAACAGG
rnacentral:rRNA from 1 species